GACGAACGCUGGCGGCGUGCCUAACACAUGCAAGUCGAACGAAGUGGCGAACGGGUGAGUAACGUGUAAUCAACCUGCCCUUCAGAGGGGGAACACAGUUGGAAACGACUGAUAAUACCGCAUACUGAAGGAGGGGAUUGCGUCUGAUUAGCUAGUGGGAGGGGUAACGGCCCACCAAGGGGAUGAGCAGUAGCCGGUCUGAGAGGAUGAACGGCCAAAUUGGGACUGGGGCACGGCCCAGACUCCCUCGGGAGGCAGCAGUGGGGAAUCUUCCGCAAUUGGCGAAAGUCUGGCGGCGCCACGCCGCGUGGGUGAUUACGGCCUUCGGGUUGUAAAGCUCUGUUAAUCGGGACGCGGUACCGGAAUAGAAAGCCACGGCUAACUACGUGCCAGCAGCCGCGGUAAUUC
rnacentral:rRNA from 1 species